AUGGUCUAUUUGGUGUCUAUCUGACAAUUGUCAGCUGAAGAAAUGAAUGGAGAUACAGCUAUAAGUUCAAGUCCUUUCCGAUGCCCUCAGCCAAACUUCCCUAGAUGGGGUGAUUUCCCUUUUCCACCCAGCAUGAACUGUCAUCUUUUCUCCCUUUUCUGAAGCCCUCAGUCUCUUCUCUCUUCUGUUACAGGAUAGCACCUGCUCAGUAUGUGCGACCUUGCCUUGGAUUUUGGAAAUAGAGAGUUGACGCUGGGAAGUCCCCACUUUGCAUUCACCAGACCUCCUACACCUGUGUCUGCACCUGUUCUGGCCCUUCCUGGGCCACACUUCCCAGAUUCUGUCUGGCCCCCAGGCCAGGCCAUGGAUUUAUUUUGGAUCAGAAAUGCUGGUCUCAGAAGACUCCAGGGAGACUCGGAGUACAGGGAUUUGCUGGGUGCCAGGGCAGGUGGCAUUCCAAGCUGGUGGGACCCAGUCGGACUGGUUGGUGAAUCUACGUAUAGGAAUAGCAACAAAAGAUAA
rnacentral:lncRNA from 1 species